GAUGAACGCUGGCGGCGUGCCUAAUACAUGCAAGUCGAGCGAACAGACGAGGAGCUUGCUCCUCUGACGUUAGCGGCGGACGGGUGAGUAACACGUGGAUAACCUACCUAUAAGACUGGGAUAACUUCGGGAAACCGGAGCUAAUACCGGAUAAUAUAUUGAACCGCAUGGUUCAAUAGUGAAAGACGGUUUUGCUGUCACUUAUAGAUGGAUCCGCGCCGCAUUAGCUAGUUGGUAGGGUAACGGCUUACCAAGGCAACGAUGCGUAGCCGACCUGAGAGGGUGAUAGGCCACACUGGAACUGAGACACGGUCCAGACUCCUACGGGAGGCAGCAGUAGGGAAUCUUCCGCAAUAGGCGAAAGCCUGACGGAGCAACGCCGCGUGAGUGAUGAAGGUCUUCGGAUCGUAAAACUCUGUUAUUAGGGAAGAACAAAUGUGUAAGUAACUAUGCACGUCUUGACGGUACCUAAUCAGAAAGCCACGGCUAACUACGUG
rnacentral:rRNA from 1 species